ACUUCCCAAGGGUCUCUGCGGCUGCGCGGACCUGGUGCGCCGCGGGCAAACCGGUCACGGCUUUGUAAGUAGCUUAACCGCCUGGGGCCGUCGACCUAGAGCCGGCCAGCUAGGACCAUGCGCAAAUUGUCCUGGGGCACACAGUCGUCCUCUGGUGAACGAUACAACUCGAAACCAAGGGACACCCUCUACUUAUAAGGGCCAUGGCGCCCGGACCAAGAAAUUACAUUUCCCAGAAAACUGCAGCCGUGCCAAGGUCUUCCGGGUCAUUCCUGCGCUCACACAAACGUUUCCCUCCGAGACAUGGGCAGCCCUUGCUGGUACCGCGCAAGUGCUCGCCGUUGCUAGCAAAGGGGCUCCUCUCAUCCCAAACCCUGCCGCUAUGCUGUUCACCUUCAGGUCUUUUUUUUUUUUUUUUUUUGGCACUCAUUUGCCCAAGACGAUAACUCACAAAACGCCCUGUGGCCCGACUGUCACGACUGUAGUUCGCCAACCAAGGGCAUUUCCUGGAAAUGCAAGGGGACACGUAUCUGUGACACUAAUGGCCGUUCUGACGUGCGUUACGCCCCUGGAAGGACUUGGAAAUACUGAACUUGAGUGAGCACUGGGAGGAUGGAGACCCUCAUCCUGGGAGGAGUCACUCCUCCCGCAGCCAUCACAGCCUGACGCCCCCUCUCCCCAGAAGUGCUUCUUAGGCCCACCCAAAAGGGCAAUGGACCUCUCUGUAUGCAAGCCAGAGCAGUCUACUGUUUGUGUAUAUUUGGGUUGUUUACUUUCUUUUUAACACUUAAAUGUUAAUUGACUUCAAUCAUUUUUAAAAUUAUAAAUAGUGUCGCUAUAGACUUUUUUGUACUUAUUAAGUACUGACCUGCAUGAUCUUCGUGAAGCAGUGCUUCUGUUACCAGAAAGGGGUCCGGAUCCGACCCCAAGAGAGAGUUCUUAGAGCUCACGCAAGAAAAAAUCCAUGGGAGAGCACAGUGCAAAGCCAAAGCAAGUGUAUUAAGAAAGUAAAGAAACAAUGGGUACUCCAUUGUUAGAGCAGCAGCUUGGGCUGCUGGACUAGGGAUACUUGUAUUUAUUGCUUGAUGAUGUGCUAAACAAGGGUGGAUUAUUCAUGAGUUUUCCAGGAAAGAGGUGGGCAAUUUCAAUUUCUCGGAGCUGAGGGCUUCCCAGCUUUUUGAACCAUACAGGGUAACUUCUGAACCUUACCAUGGCAUUUGUAAAUUGCCAUGGCACUGAUGAGCGUUUCUCUUAGCGUGCUAAUGCAUAUAAUUAGCAUAUAACCGAGAGGUGAAGCCAGCUGGGCUUCUGGAUCAGGUGGGGCCUUGGAGAACUUUUCUGUAUAGCUGAAGGAUUGUAAAUACACCAAUCAGUGCUCUGUGUCUAGCUAAAGGUUUGUAAAUGCACCAGUCAGCACUCUGUAAAAACGGACCAAACAGCACUCUGUAAAAUAGACCAAUCAGCGCUCUGUAAAAUGGACAAAUCAGCAGGAUGUGGGCGGGGCCAAAUAAGGGAAUAAAAACGGGCCACCCGAACAACCAGCGGCAACCGCGCUGGGGUCUACUUCCCAGGUGUGGGAUGUUUGUUCUUUUGCUCUUUGGGUCUGCACUACCUUUAUGAGCUGCAACACUCACCCUGAAGGUCUGCAGCUUCACUCUUGAAGCCAGCGAGACCACAAACCCACUGGGAGGAACGAACAACUCCAGACACGCCGUCUUUAGGAGCUGUAACACUCACUGUGAAGGUCUGCAGCUUCACUCCUGAAGCCAGCGAAAUCAUGAACCCACCGGGAGGAACAAACAACUCCAGCACGACUCCAGACGCACCGCCUUUAUGAGCUGUAACACACACCGCGAGGGUCUGCA
rnacentral:lncRNA from 1 species